GACGAACGCUGGCGGCGUGCUUAACACAUGCAAGUCGAGCGGUAAGGCCCUUUCGGGGGUACACGAGCGGCGAACGGGUGAGUAACACGUGGGUGACCUGCCCUCAGCUCUGGGAUAAGCCUGGGAAACCGGGUCUAAUACUGGAUAUGACUCCAUGACGCAUGUUGUGGGGUGGAAAGCCUUGUGCGGCUGAGGAUGGGCCCGCGGCCUAUCAGCUUGUUGGUGGGGUGANGGCCUACCAAGGCGACGACGGGUAGCCGGCCUGAGAGGGCGACCGGCCACACUGGGACUGAGACACGGCCCAGACUCCUACGGGAGGCAGCAGUGGGGAAUCUUGCGCAAUGGGCGAAAGCCUGACGCAGCGACGCCGCGUGAGGGAUGACGGCCUCGGCGU
rnacentral:rRNA from 1 species